UACGUAGGGGGCAAGCGUUGUCCGGAUUUAUUGGGCGUAAAGAGCGUGUAGGCGGUCAGGUAGGUCCGUUGUGAAAACUCGAGGCUCAACCUCGAGACGCCGAUGGAAACCAUCUGACUAGAGUCCGGAAGAGGAGAGUGGAAUUCCUGGUGUAGCGGUGAGAUGCGCAGAUAUCAGGAAGAACACCCGUGGCUAAGGCGGCUCUCUAGUACGGUACUGACGCUGAGACGCGAAAGCGUGGGGAGCGAACAGG
rnacentral:rRNA from 1 species